rnacentral:rRNA from 1 species
CUAGCCGUGUGCCAUAUCCAAAAAGCGGAGGAAAAGAAAAUAACAAUGAUUUCCCUAGUAACGGCGAGUGAAGAGGAAAAAGCUCAAAGUUGGAACCUAUUUGGCUUAGCUAAAUCGGAUUGUAAACUGUAGAAGUGUUUUCCUGACACGCCAGAUAAAUAAGUCCUUUGGAACAGGGCAUCAUAGAGGGUGAGAAUCCCGUCUUUGGUCUGAGCAGUUGUCUUUUGUGAUACAUUUUCAAAGAGUCAGGUUGUUUGGGAAUGCAGCCUAAAUUGGGUGGUAAAUCUCACCUAAAGCUAAAUAUUUGCGAGAGACCGAUAGCGAACAAGUACCGUGAGGGAAAGAUGAAAAGAACUUUGAAAAGAGAGUUAAACAGUAUGUGAAAUUGUUAAAAGGGAACCGUUUGGAGCCAGACUGGCUUGACUGUAAUCAAUCUAGAUCCUUCUGGAUGCACUUGCAGUUUAUGCCUGCCAAUGACAAUUUGUUUUGAGGGAAAAAACUGGGAAGAAUGUGGCCCCUUUUGGGGUGUUAUAGCUUCUUAGAAAAUACCUUGGAGCGGAUUGAGGAUCGCAGUGAAUGUCUUUUAGGCAAGAUUGCUGGGUGCUUUUGCUGAUAAAUGCUAGAAUUUCUGCUUUUAGGUGGUGCUAGUGUUUAAAGGCAAAACUCGCUUAGUAUAUUUUUUAUUCGCUUAGGUUGUUGGCUUAAUGACUCUAAAUGACCCGUCUUGAACACACCGCAGCACAAUC